rnacentral:rRNA from 1 species
UACGGAGGGUGCAAGCGUUGUCCGGAAUCACUGGGCGUAAAGGGCGCGUAGGCGGCUCGGUAAGUAGGGGGUGAAAUCCUGCGGCUUAACCGCAGGGCUGCCUUCUAAACUGUCGGGCUUGAGUACGGAAGAGGCGAGUGGAAUUCCUGGUGUAGCGGUGAAAUGCGCAGAUAUCAGGAGGAACACCAAUUGCGAAGGCAGCUCGCUGGGACGUUACUGACGCUGAGACGCGAAAGCGUGGGGAGCAAACAGG